ensembl:lncRNA
CACACAUGGCCCUCCACCUCCCCACCCUCUGCUACACACCCACACCACACCCUUCCCAUCCCUGCACCCAGUGUACAAGUUCUGGGCUUUCCUCUUUUCCAGUUGCAAGGUCAGAGCAGGUCUGGGGCGGCUGGCUGGAGGGUGGGGGGAGUUCAUUGGCCCAGGCUCUGCCACCUCACAUCAUCAUAGGUGACAGGAUCGAAUAUGUGGGUGUACAGAUUAGCCGGGCCGUCCACCUGGAUAUUUCCUAGAUGCUCAGAUCGGGGCUAACCUGCAGUUAACCAGAAACAAGCACAUCCCCGCGACUGGCUGACUUUUCUCCUUCCACCCAGGUGUUGGCAGUCCUCUACGUGAACAGAAAGGGACUGCAGCCUCCACGACACUGCUCUGCUGUGACGCCAGCUCUGGAGGGGACAGCAGCAUCAGAGACACAAACCAUCUGACAGCCCCCACACGUGCAGUCUAUUAUACACUGAGAGCCGACGGUGCUGAGGAGUGUAGCCGCCUUGCAGACAAGGUGGAGGUUGUUCAGUCACUCAGUUGCGUCCAACUCUGUGACCCCAUGGACUGCAGCACACCAGGCUUCCCUGUCCACCAUCUCCACGAGCUUACUCAAAUUCAUGUCCACUGAGUCCGUGAUGCCAUCCAACCAUCUCGUUCUCUGUCCUCCCCUUCUCCUUCUGC